CGCGCCUAACCUAUGCAGUCGAACGGUGACAGGGGCAUCGACCACGGGAUCAGUGGCGAUCGGGUGCGUAAGAAAAGGGCAACCUGCCCCAGACCCUGGGAUAACCCCGGGAAACCUUACCUAUACCGGAUACUCCGACCGAACCGCAUGGCUCGGCCGGGAAAGGUCCGCCGGUCUGGGAUGGGCCCGCGGCCUAUCAGCUUGUUGGUGGGGUAACGGCCCACCAAGGCGACGACGGGUAGCUGGUCUGAGAGGACGACCAGCCACACUGGGACUGAGAUACGGCCCAGACUCCUACGGGAGGCAGCAGUGGG
rnacentral:rRNA from 1 species